rnacentral:rRNA from 1 species
UACAGAGGGUGCAAGCGUUAAUCGGAAUUACUGGGCGUAAAGCGCGCGUAGGCGGUUACGUAAGUUGGAGGUGAAAUCCCCGAGCUCAACUUGGGAAUUGCCUUCAAAACUGCGUGGCUAGAGUGUGGGAGAGGAAGGUAGAAUUCCAGGUGUAGCGGUGAAAUGCGUAGAUAUCUGGAGGAAUACCGAUGGCGAAGGCAGCCUUCUGGCCUAACACUGACGCUGAGGUGCGAAAGCAUGGGGAGCAAACAGG